rnacentral:rRNA from 1 species
GACGAACGCUGGCGGCGUGCUUAACACAUGCAAGUCGAACGGACAGGCCCUGCUUUUGUGGGGUGCUCGAGUGGCGAACGGGUGAGUAACACGUGAGUAACCUGCCCUUGACUUUGGGAUAACUUCAGGAAACUGGGGCUAAUACCGGAUAGGAGCUCCUGCUGCAUGGUGGGGGUUGGAAAGUUUCGGCGGUUGGGGAUGGACUCGCGGCUUAUCAGCUUGUUGGUGGGGUAGUGGCUUACCAAGGUUUUGACGGGUAGCCGGCCUGAGAGGGUGACCGGCCACAUUGGGACUGAGAUACGGCCCAGACUCCUACGGGAGGCAGCAGUGGGGAAUAUUGCACAAUGGGCGGAAGCCUGAUGCAGCAACGCCGCGUGCGGGAUGACGGCCUUCGGGGUGUAAACCGCUUUCGCCUGUGACGAAGCGGGAGUGACGGUAAUGGGUAAAGAAGCACCGGCUAACUACGUG